CAAUUGUAGUUUUUCUCAUUUCCGGAAUUUUUUUGGUGUUUCAAGGUUAAUGCGGUGAAAGCAACGGAGUUUCGAGUUGCUUCAAGUUCAGUAGGAUAAAUUACGCGAAUAAACCUCGCUCUCCCCAAGCCAAGACAUUAGUUUGGGGAUAUGGAUACAAAAGCGCCACCAAUCACAAGUUUAAGCUGGGUUGCUUCUGUGCCAUCUACAACAAGCGCUGCUUCUCACAGGCUUUCUGUUUCUAGAGUUUAUAUGAGUUAUUGUUUCUUUGGCAACAAUGAUACAUAAUGCAUUGCUUAUAGUUGGAGCAUUGAGAUUGAGUGGAGUUCGGUCGAUGUUGUGAUUGUAUUGGUAAUGUCAGAUAAGGUGUUUGGGCCGAAUGCGACAACGGAGGAGGUUUACGAUAUUGCUGCUCGGCCUAUUGUGAAAUAUUUAAUGGAUGGUGUUAAUGGAACGGGGUUUGCUUAUUGU